rnacentral:rRNA from 1 species
AGAACGAACGCUGGCGGCAUGCCUAAUACAUGCAAGUCGAACGAACACUUCGGUGUUAGUGGCGCACGGGUGCGUAACGCGUGGGAAUCUGCCCUUGGGUUCGGAAUAACAGUUGGAAACGACUGCUAAUACCGGAUGAUAUCGAAAGAUCAAAGAUUUAUCGCCCAGGGAUGAGCCCGCGUAGGAUUAGCUAGUUGGUGAGGUAAAGGCUCACCAAGGCGACGAUCCUUAGCUGGUCUGGAGAGAUGA